AUGAGGGUACUAGUUUUGAACUGAUUGUAUAUUAAUUAUUAAUUUCAUAGUUUCUGUAAUGUGGGUGCCGGUUAAUUAGUUUUCAUAAUGAAUUCGUCAUUGAUUUGUUCUUGCUAAAUAAUUCAAUCUAGUCUACUGUUUUAUUAUGAUAUGAAAAUAGCUUAAUAUUCGCAAGCUAAUUUAUUGUAACGUAGUUCUCGUUGCGUGAUAGUACUGUCAUACCAGAUGUCUGGGGUUCAAUCAAUACACAAUUCUUGCGUGCCUUCUGCGUGGAACUGACAAAUCCUACAAGAUUAAUUCUGGUCAUGAAAAGUGCUUUCCGAAAUGAGCCGUUCGAAUUCGGCUUAAAACUGUAGGUCUCCUCCAUUCUUGACAACAUUACUCGCACCCUGGAAUGGUUAGAGUUUUUUUGUAUCAAACUGCCACAGCUGUAUUUAAUUUAUUGACUGGCGAAACUCAGGAUUCAAACAAGUUUGCGAAAGAUAUUAUUAGCGUGGAAGUGGAGGUUUUGACAAUUGAAGAACGACGCACGUCUUCAAAAACUAAUUAAGAACAUAUUAUCAAGACGCAAAUCUCUUAAGCCGAAGCUAUAAACAACAAAAUAAAAACAAUCUCUAAAUUUAAACAUACUCGUAUUGUAUAAUUUUUCAGAGUCACAUUUUACGUUACACAUUGGUGAAGGUAUCCAUGGCAUCGCGUACUGCAGCACACUUCGUUGGCAAAGCACUGCGAAUUUGUAAAACACAUUAGGACCACAAUUCACAGAAAAAAAAAACUAUUUCCAUCUUACCUUGGAUCCAAUUUCGAGACACUGAGGAACAUCCCUGGUUGUAGAAGGAUCCUUGACUGUAGUGUAGAUAACCUCUGCUUCUGUUUUCGAUUCGUCUUCAACUGCUGCAGCCUGCUUCUCCUCUUCAAUGCGUGGUACGAUAGAAUUUAUUUCUCUUCCCACAGCAGCUUGCUGCGUUUUCAGAGGAUUAAAAAUGAGCUCCAGCAGCGAUUCAUAUGACACUGUUUGGGGUUCAAACGCUAUACUGGCCGGUGGUGAAGCCAGUUCCGGUAAAUCGAAUCGAGAGUCAAGAACUGGGGAGCUCUGCACCGAAAAGCUUACCGGCACUGGCUUAUCCACAGGUUUGAUGUCAGACGAAGUAAUGUGUGAGCACUGGUACAGGAAUGAUAGACAGGUAUUGGAGCAACAAUCCCAGUGGUUCAGGCACUGCGGAGGGAAAGUUUAAUUAAGUAAACCAAAACAAAAUUGAAACUAAAUUGAAUUCCUUACAUAUGCUCCACCUUUUUGGCAUGGUUUAUUUGUAGCUGCAAGGCUGCAGCUAAAAAGCGUCACAAGCAGAAUUAUUCUUCUCUCCAUACUCGUGUUUAUGUCACUUGGAACUUGGGCUUCAGUGGAAAUUUAAUACCUUAAGCUGGUUUGCGAUCCUCACGCCAACACUGGUCGCAAGUGAAUGAUAAAAUAAAACUCACAGAAAUUCUUGUUUAUGAUGAAUCAAACUUUUUCUUAUAACUUUAUUGGAGACCAAUUAUUGAGAGCUCUGGGACUGGGUCUGAAUUCUGAAGACACUCAGAUGCAAGCGUUUACACUGCGAGAACGAAAAUA